GACGAACGCUGGCGGCGUGCCUAAUACAUGCAAGUCGAGCGGACUUGAUGAGAAGCUUGCUUCUCUGAGAGUUAGCAGCGGACGGGUGAGUAACACGUAGGCAACCUGCCUGUAAGACUGGGAUAACUACCGGAAACGGUAGCUAAUACCGGAUAGGUGAUUUUCUCGCAUGAGGAAGUCAAGAAAGACGGAGUAAUCUGUCACUUACGGAUGGGCCUGCGGCGCAUUAGCUAGUUGGUGAGGUAAUGGCUCACCAAGGCGACGAUGCGUAGCCGACCUGAGAGGGUGAACGGCCACACUGGGACUGAGACACGGCCCAGACUCCUACGGGAGGCAGCAGUAGGGAAUCUUCCGCAAUGGACGAAAGUCUGACGGAGCAACGCCGCGUGAGUGAUGAAGGUUUUCGGAUCGUAAAGCUCUGUUGCCAGGGAAGAACGUCUUAGAGAGUAACUGCUCUAUGAGUGACGGUACCCGAGAAGAAAGCCCCGGCUAACUACGUGCCAGCCGCCGCAGUAA
rnacentral:rRNA from 1 species